ensembl:lncRNA
ACAUUACUUUCCGUAUUUGCUCCAUGAUCUAUGAAAUUCUUAUGCUCAUUAUCUCUCUUCAUCGGAUAUAUUUCCUCCACACUGUGCACUUUCCUUACAGUGUUCUUGUAAAUUAUUGCAGGUAACUUUGUUUUCACCUGCUUUCAAACACUGAAAAAGUGGUGUUAGGCACUCAAUAAAAGUAUGUGAAAACAGAUGGACAGGCUGAAAUUACUGAACGGAGAAACUGCAAAACUUGAAGGCACACCAUGAAGACAGCCUCAGGAAACCAGAGCAGUGGAGGCAGGGCAAUGCUAGAACACCAGGAACCUCAGGCUCUUCCAAUGAAAGAUCAGUUUUUACCUAAGUGAUAUGUAGGAAAAAAGAAUCCAUUGCAACAGGGAUCUGAGAGGAUGGUGACAGUGUAUGUGUCUGCUGGAUUGCUUCGUACAUCCUAAGCUCAAUUCUUCUCCAGGGUUUCUGGCCCCUGCCUGCGUUAUCUCACACCUCCUGGGCUGGGAAGCACUGCUGCUCACCACCUUCUCCUCCAGACAUGGGCUGUAUUCUUGAGCGAGCUGGAAGCGAGGUGAAGGCAGAACAAGGGCACAUUGGAAAAGGGCUAAAAUAAGUAGGUAAGAAGACAGGUGUUGACAAAUAUAAAGUCAUACAGUAUGUUGGUGCAUAGGCCUUAUCCUCAAAUCACCACCACACCUGGAUGAAAAAGCUGCAGCACAGCAGAGACACUAAAGCUUCAUUUCCAGGGCCACUUCCAUCUGUGCAAGUAAGGAGACAAGCUGCAGCUUACAAGGAAAGAAACAUUAGAGCAGGAACUCUACAAUUUACAGUCUGUGACUAUAAAGUACUCCUCAUGCAAGCAUUUCACUGACAGAACUGGGAGACUAUAUCUGUUAUUAAAGAAAUACAUAAAUUCGUGCAACUCCAAACACGAAUUUUGAACACACCAAAGAACUGUGGCAUUUUUGCUCUGCCAGAAAAAUGAUCGUGUCUUGACUGAAUACUUUGCUUUCUAACUUCCUUUUUCAAGCUGAAACGUCAACUAUUCCAAGUCAAAUCAGAAUAUUACUCAACCACAAAUCAGGAAAAAAAAAACCCUUGAUGCCAUUUACAUAUUUGCAGUUGUGCUGUUAAGUAAAUAGAGAUUAAACCCUUCCAAAUGCUUUGCUGCUUAAUGACACAAUCACUGGCAUGUUAUUAAAGCUCAACACUCUGACAUUCCAGUCAUUACGUCUGCAAACAGUAAGACAUUAUGCAGUGAGAAAGCCAUCCUUGUAUCGAAACCAGUGAUGUCUAAUUGUGACAGGUGAAUGUUUUAUCUAUGAAGUUCAUACACACGCUAUUUUUUUGCAGUCUGUGUUCCAUUUACACAAUUUGCUAGUUUAAAAGGUUUUAACAGCCAAGAGUCCAAGUGUAAAACUUCAAAACGGAAAACUAUACUGUGUUAAUGAAGUCAGCUGGAUACAUGCCUUCUGGUUAUGAUGAUAUCAUUAUGGGCCCCAUGAUGAACAGCAAGGCAGAAAACAUUUACCUGGUUUUAAAUUCAAAAUAUUUGCCGAGAUUUAUGUCUAAAUGGAUGAAUGAGCAGAAAGGUGAUUGUGUGUUAUUUCCAUAUAACAAAAUCAAAAUUAUUCAAAUCACUAAGAACAGAAGUGUUUCUAUAUUCUGCAUGGGGUUCUGCUUUACUGAAUUUAUGUCUAUGAUUCUGACAGGCUACAAAAAAAAACAAUAAAAUAGACAUCAAC